GAGGACUCAGUUAAAAAAAAUGGAACUGACAGCACUAAAAGGUUUGUCUCUCUGAAGAACAUAUGGAGGGUGUUUCCGUGGUAACAUCAGAGAGUCCCAGGCUGAGACUGGGAGCUGCUGUACUCAUCAGCAUUUGUAGACAUUACAGAAGAGCAACAGUUCCAGACAGCUGUCACCUUCAUAAAACAACACUAGCAGAAGUUUGAAAAAACAGAAGUGAAUUGGUGCUGCUACAGUGGAGCAGUGAAGAAAGAUGUUUUGAUGGCAGCAACAGAAAGCUCCAGCAGCAAGUGCUACUUGUAUGGGGAUGGAGUGAAGAAAGGUCAGAGAAAGAAUGAGUACAACAAUAUUGCCUGCAUGCCUUAGGAAAGGAGACUCCAUGCCAAGCGUCCAUGUCUUUCUUAGACUGGGGAUCCAAGAAUGCAGUACUGCAGGUGGAGUCUCAUGAGAGGAAUGCAGAGAGAGAAUCACCUUCCUGAACCUACAUGUCACUAUUCAUGUGAUGCAGCCUAGGGUAUGGUUGGCUUCCUAAGCUGCAAGGAUGUUUCCAGCUUAUACUGAACUUCUCAUCAACCAACACCUCCAAGUCCCUCUUCUCAAAGCUGUUUUCAGUCCACUCAUUUCUCAGACUGUGUCUGUGCUUGAGAUUGCUCUGAUCCAGGCAUACUACCUUGAACUCAGCCUUCUUGAACUUCAUGGGCUCACCUCUGAAGCCUGUCAAAGAUCCACUGGAUGGCAUCCCUUUCCUCCAGCGUGCACCAUGAAAUGUUAUACACAGAAAUCAAUAUGCUCAGUUAAGAGAAUAAUAGAAAAAAGUAUGUUUAUUUUGUGUGAUCGUCUCCAAAACCAGAAAAUGAUAAUCUGCUUUUCCAAACUUAAGUUUUCUUUAAUCAGUUCCUUUCCAGGCAGUGAGUGACCACUAAAUUUCAGUGUUACAUUUUGACAGGAAAAUGCAAAGGUAGCAUGUUUUGUAACUUCUUUUUGCAAGUGAAUGAUACAAAACAAUUUCUAUAGUAUUACCCAGUGGUAGAAAAACUUUGUCAAAACCAUGCUUUGAUGAAAUGUAAAAUUUUUUUUGAAGACAACACUGGAAUAUUUAAGCAAGUACAUACUCUGCUAUUCUAAGAAAUGCAAUUUCUGGCUUGCAGAACUGUGCAUCAGAAUGAGUAUUUCUCAUUGUGUCUGAUUUAUUCGUUGCAGUUAGUUAUUAGCCAGAUCUACCGAAUUUCCUAUCAGGAUGUCAUUCUCUUUUAAAGGCAUAUGUGUGUUAUUGCAACCCUUAAUUUAUUGAUCCUUUACAAUAUAAAAGCCCUAUUCAUUGUUUCUUAAUAGAAAUGUAAUCAUGCUGACCUAUGUCACCUUAUUGCUUUUUUUUUUUUGAAUGCUUUGAGUGCUAUCUUCAAUGUAAUUAUAUCAUUAAUGUUAUUAAUGACUCACAUCAACCUACAGCUUGUAAUAGUCUCCUCAAAUUUAAUAGAUUUGUUUCUUAUUUCAUUUAUAUGUACAAAAAUGACUAUAGCAACAAUGUCGUUUGUAGAUUUGCAGGUAAAAGUAUUCUACUGAGUAUUCUGUGAGUAACGGGGCUAUCAAGG
ensembl:lncRNA